rnacentral:rRNA from 1 species
CCCUUAGAUGUCCUGGGCCGCACGCGCGUUACACUGAUGCACUCAACGAGCAUAUAACCUUGGCCGAGAGGCCUGGGUAAUCUUGUUAACAUGCAUCGUGAUAGGGAUAGAUUAUUGCAAUUAUUAAUCUUGAACGAGGAAUUCCUAGUAAUCGCGGUUCAUCAAACCGCAAUGAUUACGUCCCUGCCCUUUGUACACACCGCCCGUCGCACCUACCGAUUGAACGUUUUAGUGAGGUAUUUGGACUGGACCUUCGGAGGUUCGCGCCUCCGUUGCUGUUCGGGAAGACUCCCAAACUUGAGCGUUUAGAGGAAGUAAAANUCGUAACA